AGUGAACGCUGGCGGUAGGCCUAACACAUGCAAGUCGAACGGCAGCACAGUAAGAGCUUGCUCUUACGGGUGGCGAGUGGCGGACGGGUGAGGAAUACAUCGGAAUCUACUUUUUCGUGGGGGAUAACGUAGGGAAACUUACGCUAAUACCGCAUACGACCUACGGGUGAAAGUAGGGGAUCUUCGGACCUUGCGCGAUUGAAUGAGCCGAUGUCGGAUUAGCUAGUUGGCGGGGUAAAGGCCCACCAAGGCGACGAUCCGUAGCUGGUCUGAGAGGAUGAUCAGCCACACUGGAACUGAGACACGGUCCAGACUCCUACGGGAGGCAGCAGUGGGGAAUAUUGGACAAUGGGCGCAAGCCUGAUCCAGCCAUACCGCGUGGGUGAAGAAGGCCUUCGGGUUGUAAAGCCCUUUUGUUGGGGAAGAAAAGCAGCAGGUUUAUACCCCGCUGUUCUGACGGUACCCAAAGAAAAAGCACCUGCUAACUUCGUG
rnacentral:rRNA from 1 species